GACGAACGCUGGCGGCGUGCCUAACACAUGCAAGUCGAACGGAAAGGCCCUGCUUUUGUGGGGUGCUCGUGUGGCGAAGGGGUGAGUAACACGUGAGUAACCUGUCCCUGACUGAGGGAUAUCCUAAGGAAAAAGGGGCUCUUAUCGGAUAGGAGCUCUUGCUGCAUGGUGGGGGUUGGUAAGAUUCGGCGGUUGGGGAUGGACUGGCGGCUUAUCAGCUAGUUGGUGGGGUAGUGGCUUACCAAGGCUUUGACGGGUAGCCUACCUGGGAGGGGGACCGGCCACAAUACGACUGAGAUACGACCCAGACUCCUACGGGAGGCAACGGUGGAGAGUAUUACACAGUGGACGGGGGCGUGGUACGACGACGCCGCGAGCGGAAAAACGUGCUUCUAGUUGUAAACCAAUUUCGCAUGAACCGAGGCGUGAGUGACGGUAAUGGGUGAAGAAGCACCGGCUAACUACGUG
rnacentral:rRNA from 1 species